GAUCGGAAGUUACAUUUUUUUUUUAUCGGAAGCAACAACGGGAGCUCGCUUGUUGUGAAGGUAACCUUCUCUCUUUCCCAUGCUUCUUCAGCCAAAUCCCGUAAAUCCGCCGAACCAAGGGAUUUCGUAAAAUUUACCACAAAAAGAGGGAAUUUUCUGUCAACCGCGACUUUGCUUUACCGUGAGAUUUGGUUUUGCAUUUUUGGCCGUUUGGUUGGAUUUAGCUCAAAUCCACUUCAAAUGCUGCCUAAAUCCUGCAUCCAAACAGCCCCUAAGUGUUGAUGCCGUGAUGCAUUUACUAUUCGAAUCUUCCUUGGUUGAGUUGUCAUAUCUUUAAUUGAGAAUGAUUAGUCAUUAAAGAUGACCAGAUAUCUGCUAGUAACAGAUGCUUCCCCCUUUUUUUAAUUAGGGCUUGAGCUGAGAGGACAGCAUGAAAACUUUUCCUACGCCCGCCCGCCCCCCUUCAUAUAUAUAUGUAUAUACCCACAUACAUACAAACAUACAUAUGUGUAUGAUAUACUUCUGGCAAUCAGAUUGCCCGUAACUUGAAAAAAUAUUGGAUUGGUGUGGACAAUGAGAAACAUUUGCAUGAAUUUUGCUUGUAGGUGCCAACAAGUGACUGAUCUUUUGGAAAUAAACUUUUGUAUACUCAUUUUGCAAUGACGAACAUCGAGGAUGGCAUGAAAUAUCUCAGGCAACUGAUGUUAUGAUUUUCCCUAUUUAUUCUUAAGGUGUGAGGAUCUUUAGAAAGCGGUUGAUUUAUUUUAUGUUGGAAUUUAUUAGUCAUAUUGCUCGCUCUCCCUCUCUCUCUUUCUUUCCGUGAAGCAUGGU